rfam:Glycine max cultivar Williams 82 chromosome 5, whole genome shotgun sequence.
UAUAGACACUGAUUUGAUUAAGGGAAACCACCUAAGUCGUAGUGAAAAUGAGUCUUCACAGGACAAUUGUUACUACUUAUGGACCCAAACUUAGGUAAUUUAUCCAUGACCAAUAUGAAACUUGGGUGAAACUAAGUGGAGGUCCGAAUCAACUAAUGUUGAAGAAUCAAUGAAUGAGUUGUGGUUAGGGGUGAAAUGUCACUCAAACCCAAAGUUGGUUGG